rnacentral:rRNA from 1 species
GUUAAGCGACUAAGCGUACACGGUGGAUGCCCUGGCAGUCAGAGGCGAUGAAGGACGUGCUAAUCUGCGAUAAGCGUCGGUAAGGUGAUAUGAACCGUUAUAACCGGCGAUUUCCGAAUGGGGAAACCCAGUGUGUUUCGACACACUAUCAUUAACUGAAUCCAUAGGUUAAUGAGGCGAACCGGGGGAACUGAAACAUCUAAGUACCCCGAGGAAAAGAAAUCAACCGAGAUUCCCCCAGUAGCGGCGAGCGAACGGGGAGCAGCCCAGAGCCUGAAUCAGUAUGUGUGUUAGUGGAAGCGUCUGGAAAGGCGCGCGAUACAGGGUGACAGCCCCGUACACAAAAAUGCACAUGCUGUGAGCUCGAUGAGUAGGGCGGGACACGUGGUAUCCUGUCUGAAUAUGGGGGGACCAUCCUCCAAGGCUAAAUACUCCUGACUGACCGAUAGUGAACCAGUACCGUGAGGGAAAGGCGAAAAGAACCCCGGCGAGGGGAGUGAAAAAGAACCUGAAACCGUGUACGUACAAGCAGUGGGAGCACGCUUAGGCGUGUGACUGCGUACCUUUUGUAUAAUGGGUCAGCGACUUAUAUUCUGUAGCAAGGUUAACCGAAUAGGGGAGCCGAAGGGAAACCGAGUCUUAACUGGGCGUUAAGUUGCAGGGUAUAGACCCGAAACCCGGUGAUCUAGCCAUGGGCAGGUUGAAGGUUGGGUAACACUAACUGGAGGACCGAACCGACUAAUGUUGAAAAAUUAGCGGAUGACUUGUGGCUGGGGGUGAAAGGCCAAUCAAACCGGGAGAUAGCUGGUUCUCCCCGAAAGCUAUUUAGGUAGCGCCUCGUGAAUUCAUCUCCGGGGGUAGAGCACUGUUUCGGCAAGGGGGUCAUCCCGACUUACCAACCCGAUGCAAACUGCGAAUACCGGAGAAUGUUAUCACGGGAGACACACGGCGGGUGCUAACGUCCGUCGUGAAGAGGGAAACAACCCAGACCGCCAGCUAAGGUCCCAAAGUCAUGGUUAAGUGGGAAACGAUGUGGGAAGGCCCAGACAGCCAGGAUGUUGGCUUAGAAGCAGCCAUCAUUUAAAGAAAGCGUAAUAGCUCACUGGUCGAGUCGGCCUGCGCGGAAGAUGUAACGGGGCUAAACCAUGCACCGAAGCUGCGGCAGCGACACUAUGUGUUGUUGGGUAGGGGAGCGUUCUGUAAGCCUGCGAAGGUGUGCUGUGAGGCAUGCUGGAGGUAUCAGAAGUGCGAAUGCUGACAUAAGUAACGAUAAAGCGGGUGAAAAGCCCGCUCGCCGGAAGACCAAGGGUUCCUGUCCAACGUUAAUCGGGGCAGGGUGAGUCGACCCCUAAGGCGAGGCCGAAAGGCGUAGUCGAUGGGAAACAGGUUAAUAUUCCUGUACUUGGUGUUACUGCGAAGGGGGGACGGAGAAGGCUAUGUUGGCCGGGCGACGGUUGUCCCGGUUUAAGCGUGUAGGCUGGUUUUCCAGGCAAAUCCGGAAAAUCAAGGCUGAGGCGUGAUGACGAGGCACUACGGUGCUGAAGCAACAAAUGCCCUGCUUCCAGGAAAAGCCUCUAAGCAUCAGGUAACAUCAAAUCGUACCCCAAACCGACACAGGUGGUCAGGUAGAGAAUACCAAGGCGCUUGAGAGAACUCGGGUGAAGGAACUAGGCAAAAUGGUGCCGUAACUUCGGGAGAAGGCACGCUGAUAUGUAGGUGAGGUCCCUCGCGGAUGGAGCUGAAAUCAGUCGAAGAUACCAGCUGGCUGCAACUGUUUAUUAAAAACACAGCACUGUGCAAACACGAAAGUGGACGUAUACGGUGUGACGCCUGCCCGGUGCCGGAAGGUUAAUUGAUGGGGUUAGCGCAAGCGAAGCUCUUGAUCGAAGCCCCGGUAAACGGCGGCCGUAACUAUAACGGUCCUAAGGUAGCGAAAUUCCUUGUCGGGUAAGUUCCGACCUGCACGAAUGGCGUAAUGAUGGCCAGGCUGUCUCCACCCGAGACUCAGUGAAAUUGAACUCGCUGUGAAGAUGCAGUGUACCCGCGGCAAGACGGAAAGACCCCGUGAACCUUUACUAUAGCUUGACACUGAACAUUGAGCCUUGAUGUGUAGGAUAGGUGGGAGGCUUAGAAGUGUGGACGCCAGUCUGCAUGGAGCCGACCUUGAAAUACCACCCUUUAAUGUUUGAUGUUCUAACGUUGACCCGUAAUCCGGGUUGCGGACAGUGUCUGGUGGGUAGUUUGACUGGGGCGGUCUCCUCCUAAAGAGUAACGGAGGAGCACGAAGGUUGGCUAAUCCUGGUCGGACAUCAGGAGGUUAGUGCAAUGGCAUAAGCCAGCUUGACUGCGAGCGUGACGGCGCGAGCAGGUGCGAAAGCAGGUCAUAGUGAUCCGGUGGUUCUGAAUGGAAGGGCCAUCGCUCAACGGAUAAAAGGUACUCCGGGGAUAACAGGCUGAUACCGCCCAAGAGUUCAUAUCGACGGCGGUGUUUGGCACCUCGAUGUCGGCUCAUCACAUCCUGGGGCUGAAGUAGGUCCCAAGGGUAUGGCUGUUCGCCAUUUAAAGUGGUACGCGAGCUGGGUUUAGAACGUCGUGAGACAGUUCGGUCCCUAUCUGCCGUGGGCGCUGGAGAACUGAGGGGGGCUGCUCCUAGUACGAGAGGACCGGAGUGGACGCAUCACUGGUGUUCGGGUUGUCAUGCCAAUGGCACUGCCCGGUAGCUAAAUGCGGAAGAGAUAAGUGCUGAAAGCAUCUAAGCACGAAACUUGCCCCGAGAUGAGUUCUCCCUGACUCCUUGAGAGUCCUGAAGGAACGUUGAAGACGACGACGUUGAUAGGCCGGGUGUGUAAGCGCAGCGAUGCGUUGAGCUAACCGGUACUAAUGAACCGUGAGGCUU